UACGUAGGGGGCAAGCGUUGUCCGGAUUCAUUGGGCGUAAAGAGCGUGUAGGCGGCCAGGUAGGUCGGUUGUGAAAACUGGAGGCUCAACCUUCAGAGGUCGACCGAAACCAUCUGGCUAGAGUCCGGGAGAGGAGAGUGGAAUUCCUGGUGUAGCGGUGAAAUGCGCAGAUAUCAGGAAGAACACCCGUGGCGAAAGCGGCUCUCUGGAACGGUACUGACGCUGAGACGCGAAAGCGUGGGGAGCGAACCGGAUUAGAAC
rnacentral:rRNA from 1 species